rnacentral:rRNA from 1 species
CAGACCUACGGGGCGCAGCAGUGGGGAAUAUUGCACAAUGGGGGGAACCCUGAUGCAGCGACGCCGCGUGAGUGAAGAAGUAUUUCGGUAUGUAAAGCUCUGUCAGCAGGGAAGAAGAAAGACGGUACCUGACCAAGAAGCCCCGGCUAACUACGUGCCAGCAGCCGCGGUAAUACGUAGGGGGCAAGCGUUAUCCGGAUUUACUGGGUGUAAAGGGAGCGUAGACGGCGCGGCAAGUCUGAAGUGAAAGGCAGGGGCUUAACCCCUGAACUGCUUUGGAAACUGCCAUGCUAGAGUGCUGGAGG